rnacentral:lncRNA from 13 species
AAGAGAAUAGGCUCUGGAAUCGUACUGCCCUGCUUUAGAUAUCUCUUCUGCCACUCAGUACCCGUGUGACCUUGGACAAGCUAUUCACCUCUCUGAGGUUGAGUUUCUUCACUUGUGAAGUAGGGAUGAGAAUGUAUCCACCUUGGUAGUACAGGUGAAAUACUUUGUACAUUGCCUACCACCAAGUAGUUACCCAUGUAUUAGCUGUGCUUAUCUAUGAAGCAGGUCAUCUGCUAUGUAUUUAGAGAUGAUUUUAUCUGCUGAACAGGAUUGAGCAUUUCCUGCCGAGUCAACCAGACCGAAUCUAGCAGUAUCAACACUCCCCUAUUUCCCUGUCUCAAUGCAAAAGUGCAAGCUGUGACCAUUCCUGCGAUGUCAUAUUGACACUGGAAGAGGGGGAAAUAGGAAGAGCAAAGAGAAGACAAGUCAGAAAGACCCCUGAAUCAUUCCUCAAAAUGUUAUUUGGAAAAAGGAGAGACAGUGAGAUUUGCUGAGUUUCUUGGGGGCCAAUCAAGAAAACAAGCAAACAAUUUUGCUCUCACAAUGACUGGAUAUCAUCUUGGCAAUACAUAGUCAAGGUGUCUCAUUUCUAACAAACACCAGAAAUUACACCUGCAAAUGGCAUGUUUGUGUCUGCAAAAGAAGACAUUUCUCAGGUAUCGGUAAUGUAGGUAUUUUAAAAGUUUCCCAGGUGAUUCCAUUUUAUGCUACCAGGUUUGGAAAACAAUGAUUUGGGCAACUGUGACAUAAUCCAAUUAUCUUCCCUGCCACCCUGACAGAUGGCAUGAUCAUUUUUAAAAAUGUUUUCAAGCUGGUUGAAUUGUAAGUACUUCCUUAUAUUGAGCUAAAAUCUACUGCCUGCAAUACCUGUCUUCUAACUACUUCCCUUCAAAAUCCAUUGCAUUCUGCCUGUCCCAACCCAAUUGUCUCUCAGCUGUUCUGUAAGUGAUUUGGUUUCCACGCUGAGAUCCAAUGUGGUCACCAAUCUCAAGAGAUAAUAAUGAAAU